CCUUGUACACACCGCCCGUCACGCCAUGGAAGUUCGGAGCGCCCGAAGUCGGUGUCGCAACCGUAAGGGCAAGCCGCCGAAGGCGAGCGAAUGACUGGGGCG
rnacentral:rRNA from 1 species